GACGAACGCUGGCGGCAUGCCUAAUACAUGCAAGUCGAGCGAACGGAUGAAGUGCUUGCACUUCUGACGUUAGCGGCGAACGGGUGAGUAACACGUAAGGAAUCUACCUAUAAGCGGGGGAUAACAUUCGGAAACGGGUGCUAAUACCGCAUAAUAUCUUCUUCCGCAUGGAAGAAGAUUGAAAGACGGCUCUGCUGUCACUUAUAGAUGACCUUGCGGUGCAUUAGUUAGUUGGUGGGGUAACGGCCUACCAAGACGAUGAUGCAUAGCCGACCUGAGAGGGGGAUCGGCCACAUUGGGACUGAGACACGGCCCAAACUCCUACGGGAGGCAGCAGUAGGGAAUCUUCCGCAAUGGGCGAAAGCCUGACGGAGCAAUGCCGCGUGAGUGAAGAAGGCCUUCGGGUCGUAAAACUCUGUUAUAAGAGAAGAACAAAUUGUAGAGUAACUGCUACAGUCUUGACGGUAUCUUAUCAGAAAGCCACGGCUAACUACGUGCCAGCAGCCGCGGUAA
rnacentral:rRNA from 1 species